rnacentral:rRNA from 1 species
AGAGCGAACGCUGGCGGCAGGCCUAAUACAUGCAAGUCGAACGGACCCUUCGGGGUUAGUGGCGGACGGGUGAGUAACACGUGGGAACGUGCCCUUUGGUUCGGAACAACUCAGGGAAACUUGAGCUAAUACCGAAUGUGCCCCCAUCCUUAAACAAGAUGGGUGGGAAAGAUUUAUCGCCAUUGGAGCGGCCCGCGUCUGAUUAGCUAGUUGGUGGGGUAAAGGCUCACCAAGGCGACGAUCAGUAGCUGGUCUGAGAGGAUGAUCAGCCACACUGGGACUGAGACACGGCCCAGACUCCUACGGGAGGCAGCAGUAGGGAAUCUUGCGCAAUGGGCGAAAGCCUGACGCAGCCAUGCCGCGUGAAUGAUGAAGGUCUUAGGAUUGUAAAAUUCUUUCAGCGGGGACGAUAAUGACGGUACCCGCAGAAGAACGCCCGGCUAACUUCGCGCCAGCAGCCGC